GGGGAAUCUUGCGCAAUGGCCUAACGGCUGACGCAGCGACGCCGCGUGAGGGAUGACGCUCUUCGGAGUGUAAACCUCUUUUGCCCGGGACGAAUUGCCAACUUUCGUUGGCUUGACGGUACCGGGUGAAUAAGCACCGGCUAACUCCGUGCCAGCAGCCGCGGUAAUACGGGGGGUGCGAGCGUUGUCCGGAAUCACUGGGCGUAAAGGGCGCGUAGGUGGCCUGAUAAGGGUGUGGUGAAAGUCCGGGGCUUAACCCCGGAUCUGCCGUGCCGACUGUUAGGCUAGAGUGCUGUAGGGGCAGGCGGAAUUCCGGGUGUAGCGGUGGAAUGCGUAGAGAUCCGGAGGAAGACCGGUGGCGAAGGCGGCCUGCUGGGCAGAUACUGACACUGAGGCGCGACAGCGUGGGGAGCAAA
rnacentral:rRNA from 1 species